rnacentral:pre_miRNA from 1 species
UCAUAUGUAUGAGCAAAAAAGUGGUUUCUUGAGAUGGAAUCUACUCCUAGUAAAGAUACUGUGAA